rnacentral:rRNA from 1 species
GUGACCUCAAAUCAGGUAGGACUACCCGCUGAACUUAAGCAUAUCAAUAAGCGGAGGAAAAGAAACUAACAAGGAUUCCCCUAGUAACUGCGAGUGAAGCGGGAAAAGCUCAAAUUUAAAAUCUGGCAGCCUUUGGUUGUCCGAGUUGUAAUCUAGAGAAGUGUUAUCCGCGCUGGACCGUGUACAAGUCUCCUGGAAUGGAGCGUCAUAGAGGGUGAGAAUCCCGUCUUUGACACGGACUGCCAGGGCUUUGUGAUGCGCUCUCAAAGAGUCGAGUUGUUUGGGAAUGCAGCUCAAAAUGGGUGGUAAAUUCCAUCUAAAGCUAAAUAUUGGCGAGAGACCGAUAGCGAACAAGUACCGUGAGGGAAAGAUGAAAAGAACUUUGGAAAGAGAGUUAAACAGUACGUGAAAUUGCUGAAAGGGAAACGCUUGAAGUCAGUCGCGUUGUCCAGGGAUCAACCUUGCUUUUGCUUGGUGCACUUUCUGGUUGACGGGUCAGCAUCAAUUUUGACUAUUGGAAAAAGAUUAGGGGAAUGUGGCAUCUUUGGAUGUGUUAUAGCCCUUGGUUGCAUACAAUGGUUGGGAUUGAGGAACUCAGCACGCCGCAAGGCCGGGUUU